rnacentral:rRNA from 1 species
GGGGAUAACAGUUAGAAAUGGCUGCUAAUACCGCAUAAGCGCACAGUACUGCAUGGUACGGUGUGAAAAACUCCGGUGGUAUGAGAUGGACCCGCGUCUGAUUAGCUAGUUGGUGAGGUAACGGCCCACCAAGGCGACGAUCAGUAGCCGACCUGAGAGGGUGAACGGCCACAUUGGGACUGAGACACGGCCCAAACUCCUACGGGAGGCAGCAGUGGGGAAUAUUGCACAAUGGGGGGAACCCUGAUGCAGCGACGCCGCGUGAAGGAAGAAGUAUUUCGGUAUGUAAACUUCUAUCAGCAGGGAAGAAAAUGACGGUACCUGACUAAGAAGCCCCGGCUAACUACGUGCCAGCAGCCGCGGUAAUACGUAGGGGGCAAGCGUUAUCCGGAUUUACUGGGUGUAAAGGGAGCGUAGGCGGCAGUGCAAGUCAGAAGUGAAAGCCCAAGGCUCAACCAUGGGACUGCUUUUGAAACUGUACAGCUAGAUUGCAGGAGAGGUAAGUGGAAUUCCUAGUGUAGCGGUGAAAUGCGUAGAUAUUAGGAGGAACACCAGUGGCGAAGGCGGCUUACUGGACUGUAAAUGACGCUGAGGCUCGAAAGCGUGGGGAGCAAACAGGAUUAGAUACCCUGGUAGUCCACGCCGUAAACG